UUCUUCUUUGUGUUUAUUACAGGUUUCUUGCAGCCCCGGGAUCUGCCCAGCCGGGGCGUUCUCCCCUUUGUCCAAGGGCUUCUUUGUAACACCGGCUCAACCUGCAGGAACUUCAGCUUUGAAGGGUACAUGGACCACCAUUUCCGGUUCCGCUCUGCUGCUGCUGAUGCGGAGGUCACCAGCCUGGCCUUUGUGGAGGAGGUGCAGGGCCUGGCCGAGGACAUUUACGCAGCAGUGAACAAGGCAAAGCACUUGCAGAAGCUCUGGCGAGAAAGAGGCCAGACACCAGGCAAGUGACUCACUCUCCCCACUUUCCCCCCAUGGGG
rnacentral:lncRNA from 1 species